UAUCUACAGGCUUAACACAUGCAAGUCGAGGGGCAUCAGGAAGAAAGCUUGCUUUCUUUGCUGGCGACCGGCGCACGGGUGAGUAACACGUAUCCAACCUGCCCUUUACUCGGGGAUAGCCUUUCGAAAGAAAGAUUAAUACCCGAUGGCAUAAUGAUUCCGCAUGGUUUCAUUAUUAAAGGAUUCCGGUAAAGGAUGGGGAUGCGUUCCAUUAGGUUGUUGGUGAGGUAACGGCUCACCAAGCCUUCGAUGGAUAGGGGUUCUGAGAGGAAGGUCCCCCACAUUGGAACUGAGACACGGUCCAAACUCCUACGGGAGGCAGCAGUGAGGAAUAUUGGUCAAUGGGCGCUAGCCUGAACCAGCCAAGUAGCGUGAAGGAUGAAGGCUCUAUGGGUCGUAAACUUCUUUUAUAUAAGAAUAAAGUGCAGUAUGUAUACUGUUUUGUAUGUAUUAUAUGAAUAAGGAUCGGCUAACUCCGUGCCAGCAGCCGCGGUAAUACGGAGGAUCCGAGCGUUAUCCGGAUUUAUUGGGUUUAAAGGGAGCGUAGGUGGACUGGUAAGUCAGUUGUGAAAGUUUGCGGCUCAACCGUAAAAUUGCAGUUGAUACUGUCAGUCUUGAGUACAGUAGAGGUGGGCGGAAUUCGUGGUGUAGCGGUGAAAUGCUUAGAUAUCACGAAGAACUCCGAUUGCGAAGGCAGCUCACUGGACUGCAACUGACACUGAUGCUCGAAAGUGUGGGUAUCAAACAGGAUUAGAUACCCUGGUAGUCCACACAGUAAACGAUGAAUACUCGCUGUUUGCGAUAUACAGUAAGCGGCCAAGCGAAAGCAUUAAGUAUUCCACCUGGGGAGUACGCCGGCAACGGUGAAACUCAAAGGAAUUGACGGGGGCCCGCACAAGCGGAGGAACAUGUGGUUUAAUUCGAUGAUACGCGAGGAACCUUACCCGGGCUUAAAUUGCAGUGGAAUGAUGUGGAAACAUGUCAGUGAGCAAUCACCGCUGUGAAGGUGCUGCAUGGUUGUCGUCAGCUCGUGCCGUGAGGUGUCGGCUUAAGUGCCAUAACGAGCGCAACCCUUAUCUUUAGUUACUAACAGGUUAUGCUGAGGACUCUAGAGAGACUGCCGUCGUAAGAUGUGAGGAAGGUGGGGAUGACGUCAAAUCAGCACGGCCCUUACGUCCGGGGCUACACACGUGUUACAAUGGGGGGUACAGAAGGCAGCUAGCGGGUGACCGUAUGCUAAUCCCAAAAGCCUCUCUCAGUUCGGAUCGAAGUCUGCAACCCGACUUCGUGAAGCUGGAUUCGCUAGUAAUCGCGCAUCAGCCACGGCGCGGUGAAUACGUUCCCGGGCCUUGUACACACCGCCCGUCAAGCCAUGGGAGCCGGGGGUACCUGAAGUACGUAACCGCAAGGAUCGUCCUAGGGUAAAACUGGUGACUGG
rnacentral:rRNA from 1 species